AGGAUUAACGCUGGCGGCGUGCCUAACACAUGCAAGUCGAACGAGGGGGGCAACCCCCGAGUGGCAGACGGGUGAGUAACGCGUGGUCAACCUACCCUAGAGUGGGGAAUAACUAGCCGAAAGGUUAGCUAAUACCGCAUGAUACGUUUUGGGACAUCCCAGGACGUUGAAAGGAGCAAUCCGCUCGAGGACGGGACCGCGUCCGAUUAGCUAGUUGGUGAGGUAACGGCCCACCAAGGCUCCGAUCGGUAGCUGGUUUGAGAGAGCGACCAGCCACACUGGGACUGAGAAACGGCCCAGACUCCUACGGGAGGCAGCAGUGAGGAAUUUCCGCAAUGGGCGAAAGCCUGACGGAGCGACGCCGCGUGUGGGAAGAAGGCCUUCGGGUCGUAAACCACUGGUCGAAGGGGACUAGUACUGAAGGUACCCUUGGAGGAAGCCCGGCUAACUACGCGCCAGCAGCCGC
rnacentral:rRNA from 1 species